rnacentral:rRNA from 1 species
GACGAACGCUGGCGGCGUGCUUAACACAUGCAAGUCGAACGAUGAAGCUAGAGCUUGCUCUGGUGGAUUAGUGGCGAACGGGUGAGUAACACGUGAGUAACCUGCCCCGAACGCUGGGAUAACUGCUGGAAACGGUAGCUAAUACCGGAUAUGACCAAUGAAGGCAUCUUCUGUUGGUGGAAAGAAUUUCGGAUCGGGAUGGACUCGCGGCCUAUCAGCUUGUUGGUGAGGUAACGGCUCACCAAGGCGACGACGGGUAGCCGGCCUGCGAGGGUGAUCGGCCACACUGGGACUGAGACACGGCCCAGUCUCCUACGGGAGGCAGCAGUGGGGAAUAUUGCACAAUGGGCGCAAGCCUGAUGCAGCAACGCCGCGUGAGGGACGACGGCCUUCGGGUUGUAAACCUCUUUUAGUAGGGAAGAAGCGAAAGUGACGGUACCUGCAGAAAAAGCACCGGCUAACUACGUGCCAGCCGCCGCCGUAA